CUUCAGGUGCUAGAACGUUGUAGAACUAGGUAUGGCAUUGACAGCACAGCACCAUGAUGGCACCAAAUGCCAGGGAGCUGUCGUUUGAAAUGGCUAAAAUAGUAGGCUUCAUAUUACACAUACGUUUGCCAUACUAAAAAGCUGCUGUACCCCAAGCAAAUUUUUUUAGUUAUUAACAUUGAUCUUCUGGGGCUGGGGAUUUAGCUCAGCGGCAAAGCGCCUGCCUGGCAAGCACAAGGUCGUGAGUUUGGUUCCCGGUACUGGAGAAAAACCAAAAAAAAAAAAAAAAAAUUGAUCUUCUGAGGAAUUGAAUGGGAUUUGGGGAAUGUGAGGGGAAAACAGACUCUGAAGCCACUUGAAGUAUGAUUCCCACCUUCCAGUACGCAUAUGUACAGAAAAACCAAGAUUAGCAGGAAAUGCAUGAAAAAGUUAAACAGGGUUACUGGCAGGUAUAUUCCCUUUUUUUCUUCUAUAAUUCCACCUGCACUGUAAUAUUUUUGUUGACAUUAUUUAUAUAAUAUAAAGAGAAUUUUGUAAAAAUAUGGGGCCCCUUAACAUUUUUUAGCAUAGAGAGGAAAAGAUAACAAGAACAAUGAAGAUCUAAGUCUAAGAACACACGCCAUCUCGACUCCAGUGGAGCAAGGGCUGGGGAGGUUGUGGGGUGAGGGGUUCCCAGUGUGAGGUGGAUGAGGCCCGGUCCACCCCAGAACUGUGGGACCAGACCUCCAAACUUUCAAGAGACACGGGUGCUGCCGACUUUUGGUGAAAUGCCAUGAUUUUCAAACAUUGGCAAUUUGUUCAGUAUUUUUCAAGCACCGCAGACCAAGCAAAACAUAUCUUCAGAUCAAAUACAGCCCACAGACGCCAGCUGGUAGAUUCUAGUUUAUGGAAACAGCAAUGUUUAGCUGGGGGAAAAAAGUCUUUGGAAGUCAGAGCAGUGAGUCUCAAUAUUGGAAACAUGACUCUGUUGAGGGGAGGCUGGCUCCUGGGGCUCGAAAAGGAGCCUCCAAUCCGAGGCCAGCGGUUUUGGGAUGCAGGAGUGGCAGGCACAGGGCAAGCAGCUUGGUUUCCAGCGACGAGAGCAGUUCUCUGGCAAUGCGUGUGUGCAAGCAGAACCAGAGCUGCCGGCCGGAGGUGUCCCCGACACAUCUACAGAGCCAGGGUCCCUCCCGUGGGUCACUUUGGGUCAGAGGGCAGACCAGGGCAAAGCUUCCGACCGUGGCUGAGUAUCAGACACUUAGGGAAAAAUGCAGGCUCCUGAACCCCAUCCCAGAACCGCAGGGCACAGCCCGAGAGUGUUGGAACGCGGCCUCCAGCUCCUCCUCAGCGUGGGGGCCCUGCACUUGUAACCCCACUUUUACCUGCAGCAGGCAGGAAGUCGGGAGAACACAGAGCAUCACAGAGCGAUCCAGCACCGCUCCCUGCGCGCAGCAACCUAGCAAGCGGGGAGUGGAGCCCUCCGCCCCGACUCCGAGACAGGAAGCAGGCUGAGAAGCUCCGACUACUUGGAACUCACUUUGCAGUAUCUGU
rnacentral:lncRNA from 1 species